rnacentral:rRNA from 1 species
CCAAUAGCGUAUAUUAAAGUUGUUGCAGUUAAAAAGCUCGUAGUUGAAUUUCGGGAUUAGUACGUUGGUCAUGCCUUGGUAUGUACUGGUGUAACUGAUUCCUCCCUUCUGACGAACCGUCAUGCCAUUCACUUGGUGUGGCGGGAAAUCAGGACUGUUACUUUGAAAAAAUUAGAGUGUUUAAAGCAGGCUCGCGCUUGAAUACAUUAGCAUGGAAUAAUGAAAUAGGACGUUAAUCCUAUUUUGUUGGUUUCUAGGAUCGACGUAAUGAUUAAUAGGGAUAGUUGGGGGCAUUAGUAUUCAAUUGUCAGAGGUGAAAUUCUUGGAUUUAUUGAAGACUAACUACUGCGAAAGCAUUUGCCAAGGAUGUUUUCAUUAAUCAAGAACGAAAGUUAGGGGAUCGAAGACGAUCAGAUACCGUCGUAGUCUUAACCAUAAACUAUGCCGACUAGGGAUCGGAUGAUGUUAAUUUUUUAAUGACUCAUUCGGCGCCUUACG